UACGUAGGGUGCGAGCGUUAAUCGGAAUUACUGGGCGUAAAGCGUGCGCAGGCGGUUUUGUAAGACAGGUGUGAAAUCCCCGGGCUUAACCUGGGAACUGCAUUUGUGACUGCAAGGCUAGAGUGUGGCAGAGGGGGGUAGAAUUCCGCGUGUAGCAGUGAAAUGCGUAGAUAUGCGGAGGAACACCGAUGGCGAAGGCAGCCCCCUGGGCCGACACUGACGCUCAUGCACGAAAGCGUGGGGAGCAAACAGG
rnacentral:rRNA from 1 species